rnacentral:rRNA from 1 species
CUGGGGACUCUAAUGAAACUGCCUACGCAAGUAGUGAGGAAGUGGGGAUGACGUCAAGUCAUCAUGGCCCUUACGGCCUGGGCUACACACGUGCUACAAUGGUCGGUACAAAGGGUUGCCAAGCCGCGAGGUGGAGCUAAUCCCAUAAAACCGAUCGUAGUCCGGAUCGCAGUCUGCAACUCGACUGCGUGAAGUCGGAAUCGCUAGUAAUCGUGAAUCAGAAUGUCACGGUGAAUACGUUCCCGGGCCUU